AUUGAACGCUGGCGGCAGGCCUAACACAUGCAAGUCGAGCGGAUGAAGGUAGCUUGCUACCUGAUUCAGCGGCGGACGGGUGAGUAAUGCCUAGGAAUCUGCCUGGUAGUGGGGGACAACGUUUCGAAAGGAACGCUAAUACCGCAUACGUCCUACGGGAGAAAGUGGGGGAUCUUCGGACCUCACGCUAUCAGAUGAGCCUAGGUACGAUUAGCUAGUUGGUGAGGUAAAGGCUCACCAAGGCGACGAUCGCUAACUGGUGUGAGAGGAUGGUCAGUCACACUGGAACUGAGACACGGUCCAGACUCCUACGGGAGGCAGCAGUGGGGAAUAUUGGACAAUGGGCGAAAGCCUGAUCCAGCCAUGCCGCGUGUGUGAAGAAGGUCUUCGGAUUGUAAAGCACUUUAAGUUGGGAGGAAGGGCAGUAAGUUAAUACCUUGCUGUUUUGACGUUACCGACAGAAUAAGCACCGGCUAACUUCGUGCCAGCAGCCGCAGUAACAC
rnacentral:rRNA from 1 species